AGAGUUAAUUGCAUAGACCCCCCUGUGUUAUUUCUCGGAAGCAAAAAACCCCCCCGGAAAAAUAAAUUAGCAUAUAACCCCCUAUGUUGUGUUUUAGUCAGCCCACCGCCCCUUUGUGUGCACUGGCUCGUUGACUUACAUGAAAUGACAGAAUUGCCCUGAAUAAAAAAUAAAGCAAAAAAGAAAAAAAAAUCAAACUAAUUUAAUUAUAAAUAACCUAAAUUUAGAGGACCAAAUUGUAAUUUCCAAAGUUUACACCUUCUUCCCCAUUUCCGUCAGCACCGCCGCCGUCUGGCCCUCCGACACCCACCCACUCCUUCAAAUUUCUCUCCCUCUACACUGCCGCCGUCUCGAAUCACCGCCGCCCACCCCUCGUUCAAAUUCCUCUCCUCGACACCUUACCCCAGAGCCCUUCAACUUUGUCAGCUACCAUCUUCUUCCCGUAAGCCCCCCCUCCCCCUAAAAUUCUUUACCAGACAAAGCACCACCACAUCCAUCCCCCAACCCCACCUGCCCCAACUCUUCCUACCUGUCAACAAUGCGCCGGGGCGACUACACCAACGGUAUCACGUCGUGACGGCGUCGAUUUUGAUUUCUCCUUGAGAAGUCGGCAAAAAAUAAAAAUCAAAAAAUCCAAUUUAAAUAUCUCCGAAGCCCUUCGCCGGAGGAUAUUGAGGCGAGUUUUGCUUCGAUUUGUUCGGAUUUGUGUCCAUCUAUUGGGAAUUUGGAUUCUCAGGUGUUGUGAAGGAAUUUGGUUAAACACGAUUCAUUUUACGAUUUUCUUCAGCCAUGUUUGGACGCGGAAAAAGAUUACUCAAGCAGUCUAGGAGUGCAAGAAAUAUCAGGUUCCCAGCUUUAUUUACGCUUCUGAUAUUGAUAAUGGAACAGCUUCGACUCUUUGGUUCAGUUAAAUCCGACGGUAGAAUUAAGAAAUGGGACUGAUUUGAUAUGGCAGAUACCAGACUUGCCUAAGGCGGUUCUCUUCUUGGCUCAUGGUUGUAAUGGCAGAGCACUUAAUUUUUGGGAUAAGUCUCGUAAUUGCCCAAAUUGUGUUGGUUUGCCCGAAGAGAGGCUCAUUGUUCUUGUGGUGGCAUUUACGGGCGGUGAUAGGGUAUUGUCGAGAGUUAUGGUGAGGUGAACGGGGAUAUAGUGGAAGGGGCAGUCCUAGACGAUAGAAGAAGUGGUAGGGGUCUGCGAAGCGGAGAUGGGCCAUGGGAGAGCUGGGGUUUGACAUUAUAGUGGUGGUUUUAGGUGUAGUGAAGAAGAGGGUAUUUCAUAAAAUAUGAGGGACUGAAUUGAUAAUUUAGAAAACUUUAAUUUGUCCUAAAAUGUCCUAAAACGCACGCCCAGCUGCAUGAACCGCGAGUGUAUCCCACGAUUCGCUCGUAGGGUCCUUAUUGUCAUUGACUUCCUUUCAUAGGGGGGUAU